rnacentral:rRNA from 1 species
AACGAACGCUGGCGGCAGGCCUAACACAUGCAAGUCGAACGCCCCGCAAGGGGAGUGGCAGACGGGUGAGUAGCGCGUGGGAACCUUCCCAAAGGUGCGGAAUAGCUCAGGAAACUUGGGGUAAUACCGCAUAAUGCCGAAAGGCCAAAGAUUUAUCGCCUUUGGAUGGGCCCGCGUCGGAUUAGCUAGUUGGUGAGGUAACGGCUCACCAAGGCGACGAUCCGUAGCUGGUUUGAGAGAAUGACCAGCCACACUGGGACUGAGACACGGCCCAGACUCCUACGGGAGGCAGCAGUGGGGAAUCUUGGACAAUGGGCGCAAGCCUGAUCCAGCCAUGCCGCGUGAGUGACGAAGGCCUUAGGGUUGUAAAGCUCUUUUGCCGGGGACGAUAAUGACGGUACCCGGAGAAUAAGUCCCGGCUAACUUCGUGCCAGCCGCCGCGGUAA